rnacentral:rRNA from 1 species
UGUUUAUCAAAAACACAGGACUCUGCCAACUCGCAAGAGGAUGUAUAGAGUCUGACGCUUGCCCGGUGUCGGUAGGUUAAGGAAGGAGGUUAGCCGUAAGGCGAAGCUUGCGACCGAAGCCCCGAUAAACGGCGGCCGUAACUAUGACGGUCCUAAGGUAGCGAAGUUCCUUGUCGGGUAAGUUCCGACCUGCAUGAAUAGCGUAACGACUGGAAUACUGUCUCAACCAGAGACCCGGUGAAAUUGUAGCCGAGGUGAAGAUGCCUCGUACCCGCACUGAGACGGAAAGACCCCGUGAACCUUUACUGUAGGCUGAUAUUGGGCUGAGACACACUUUGUGUAGGAUAGGUGGGAGGCUAUGAUCCGGGCACGCAAGUGUUCGGGGAGCCGUCGUUGAAUACCACCCUGAGUAUGUUUUAGUUCUAACCUCGAUUCCCGUGGAAAACCGGGGCGGGGGAACAGUGUCAGUUGGGCAGUUUGACUGGGGCGGUCUCCUCCAAAAGAGUAACGGAGGAGUUCAAAGGUACCCUCAGCCUGG